rnacentral:misc_RNA from 1 species
AACGCACAUUGCGCCUUUUGGUAUUCCGAAAGGCAUGCCUGUCUGAGCGUCAGUGAACAUCUCCUCAGAGUUAUGCUGGUUUCACGCUUCUUAUAGUAUGAAAUGGCUUAUCUCUAGAAGGGUCUUGAGUUUGGUCUGUGAACCAUUAUUGUUCACUAACUCAAAAACCAGUAAAGAGCCAUGUCUAUUGAAUCUAAUGCAUAGGUCGUUCCAAUUCAUUAGAUCAGUAUGCAUUUAUAAGGCACUUUCACUGUCUGUACUGACAAUUGACAUUUUGACCUCAGAUCAGGCAAGGAUACCCGCUGAACUUAA